CCUACGGGGUGCAGCAGGCGCGAAACCUCCGCAAUGCGGGCAACCGCGACGGGGGGACCCCCAGUGCCGUGGCACAGCCACGGCUUUUCCGGAGUGUAAAAAGCUCCGGGAAUAAGGGCUGGGCAAGGCCGGUGGCAGCCGCCGCGGUAAUACCGGCGGCCCAAGUGGUGGCCGCUAUUAUUGGGCCUAAAGCGUCCGUAGCCGGGCCCGUAAGUCCCUGGCGAAAUCCCACGGCUCAACCGUGGGGCUUGCUGGGGAUACUGCGGGCCUUGGGACCGGGAGAGGCCGGGGGUACCCCUGGGGUAGGGGUGAAAUCCUAUAAUCCCAGGGGGACCGCCAGUGGCGAAGGCGCCCGGCUGGAACGGGUCCGACGGUGAGGGACGAAGGCCAGGGGAGCGAACCGGAUUAGAUACCCGGGUAGUCCUGGCUGUCAAGGAUGCGGGCUAGGUGUCGGGCGAGCUUCGAGCUCGCCCGGUGCCGGAGGGAAGCCGUUAAGCCCGCCGCCUGGGGAGUACGGCCGCAAGGCUGAAACUUAAAGGAAUUGGUGGGGGAGCACUACAAGGGGUGGAGCGUGCGGUUUAAUUGGAUUCAACGCCGGGAACCUCACCGGGGGCGACGGCAGGAUGAAGGCCAGGCUGAAGGUCUUGCCGGACGCGCCGAGAGGAGGUGCAUGGCCGCCGUCAGCUCGUACCGUGAGGCGUCCACUUAAGUGUGGUAACGAGCGAGACCCGCGCCCCCAGUUGCCAGUCCUCCCCGCUGGGGAGGAGGCACUCUGGGGGGACCGCCGGCGAUAAGCCGGAGGAAGGAGCGGGCGACGGUAGGUCAGUAUGCCCCGAAACCCCCGGGCUACACGCGCGCUACAAUGGGCGGGACAAUGGGAACCGACCCCGAAAGGGGAAGGGAAUCCCCUAAACCCGCCCUCAGUUCGGAUCGCGGGCUGCAACUCGCCCGCGUGAAGCUGGAAUCCCUAGUACCCGCGUGUCAUCAUCGCGCGGCGAAUACGUCCCUGCUCCUUGCACUCACCGCCCGUC
rnacentral:rRNA from 1 species